rnacentral:rRNA from 1 species
AAACACGGACUAAGGAGUCUAGCAUGUGCGCGAGUCAUUGGGAAUUACUAAACCUAAAGGCGCAAUGAAAGUGAAGGUUCGCCUUGCGCGAACCGAGGGAAGAUGGGCGUGCCGUGUUUACCGCGGCCGCUCCGCACUCCCGGGGCGUCUCGUUCUCAUUGCGAGAAGAGGCGCACCAAGAGCGUACACGCUGGGACCCGAAAGAUGGUGAACUAUGCCUGGUCAGGACGAAGUCAGGGGAAACCCUGAUGGAGGUCCGUAGCGAUUCUGACGUGCAAAUCGAUCGUCGGAACUGGGUAUAGGGGCGAAAGACUAAUCGAACCAUCUAGUAGCUGGUUCCCUCCGAAGUUUCCCUCAGGAUAGCUGGCGCUCGUCGCCUACGAGUCUCAUCCGGUAAAGCGAAUGAUUAGAGGCAUUGGGGUCGAAACGGCCUCAACCUAUUCUCAAACUUUAAAUGGGUGAGAUCUCCGGCUUGCUCGAACUACUGAAGCCGCGAGACACGGAUCAGAGUGCCAAGUGGGCCAUUUUUGGUAAGCAGAACUGGCGCUGUGGGAUGAACCAAACGCCGAGUUAAAGCGCCUAAAUCGACGCUUAUGGGAUACCAUGAAAGGCGUUGGUAACUUAAGACAGCAGGACGGUGGCCAUGGAAGUCGGAAUCCG